UCAGGAAUGCCAUUCCUAAAUCCUGACAAAGUCCCUUGUGUUUUUCCCAAGACAAGUGUGCCAUUGCAAUAGCAUUGGAAAGUAUAUAGUGUGAUUAUACAUAGAUAAACAAAUAUGAGAGGUUGAUCAAAGGAAUGAAGAAGCGUGAAAAAGACAGAAGGAGAAGGAACAUGCUGGCUGCUGCAGGCAUGAAGCCAUAAAAUCAAAAGUGAGUGGCACCUCCAGCUUCCAUGGCAGGCACAUAAAGAGGCAUCAGCUUAUACUCACUGACAAACAUCACUUCAGAAUGGGUUUACUUUAUUGGAUUGGAAAAAACGGUACUGCUUUGACAGAAGUGUAAAUACAGCCAACUAGAAAUGUGGCUAAAAAGAAAGGUAUGUAAAAUCAAACAUAUCACUGUACUUGCUAACAAAACCAAUGGUUUACAAAGUUUAAUAUCUUAGAGUAGAUCAUCAGU